rnacentral:rRNA from 1 species
AUUGAACGCUGGCGGCAGGCCUAACACAUGCAAGUCGAACGAGUGGCGGACGGGUGAGUCAUGUCUGGGAAACUGCCCGCUGGAGGGGGAUAACUACUGGAAACGGUAGCUAAUACCGCAUACCAUCGGAUGUGCCCUGAUGGGAUUAGCUAGGAGGUGGGGUAACGGCUCACCUAGGCGACGAUCCCUAGCUGGUCUGAGAGGAUGACCAGCCACACUGGAACUGAGACACGGUCCAGAUCCCUACGGGAGGCAGCGUUGGGGAAUAUUGCACAAUGGGCGCAAGCCUGAUGCAGCCAUGCCGCGUGUAUGAAGAAGGCCUUCGGGUUGUAAAGUACUUUCAGCGAGAAGGCGUUACUCGCAGAAGAAGCACCGGCUAACUCCGUGCCAGCAGCCGCGGUAAUAC